rnacentral:lncRNA from 1 species
CAGAAAGGGAAAGGAGAGGAGUAAAGAGGAAAAGAGAACAGUGGUGGGUGCCUAUAAAGAGCCACACACCUUGCUGCAUGCUCUAUAUGUGGGCUAUUGUUUGUUCUCACAAUGAAUCUGAGUAGUAGAUAUAGCAUGCCCAUUUUCCAGGUAAUUGCUGAAGGAUUUUUGCUUCAAACAGGCUCUUGUUUGCAUCAAGUGUGGGGUGCAGCAAAGUGGACUCGGGACUGGCCGAUGUCUGGCCAGAAAUGCCAGGCAAGGGAAACAGUGACUCUAGUGGGGUCAGGAGAGGGGCAUCUGCUGGCCCAGGAGCGCAAGGCAGAGGGACUUCAUUGUCCCCCUUAUAGGUGAGGCGACUCUGAGGCAGGAGGUCCAAGUUUGCUGGACAAUGGCAGAAACAGAAUUCAAACACCUGUCUUCUAGGAGAAGUUCUGGUCUCUCCUCGGUGCUGCGGCUGCCCCGGG